GCCCCCAUCGUCUAGUGGCCUAGGACGCAGGACCUUCUGUCCUGAAACCGGAGUUCGAGUCUCUGUGGGGGUA
rnacentral:tRNA from 1 species